AUAUACAGAGAGUCCAUUUGAAACAAAAUCUACGUUUUACUUUGUUUAUAAUUGUGGGCAAACACAUAUGGUAACAAAUCUAAUCCCCUUUAGCAGCAAAAAAUAGUGGAUUGUUAUGUACAAUGAGAUGUAUAUACACAUAAUUUGGUAGCACAAAGUCCCAAUGAAAAUCAUGGCCCGUUGAAAAUCUUUCCAUUUUUCAGCAACUCCGUGCUUUAGAAACUACACCCAACAAGAAUUUAGAUCUUUAGUCACAUUGGAAACCAUAUAACCUUAGUUAUGUUGUUUGCAGAGACAUAAAUGUUCCAGGCAACAAGGGACUUUUAAUAGAAUCAUCAUCAGCUCUCAAAACCUGGGAGAUGACAACAAACACAAUUGUCAAUGCUUCAUUGCUAAGUUUAGUUUACAGAACAAGCGUACAAAAUCAAGCAAUAGGCUGCCUCUUCUGACACACAUAAAGCAGAUAAAUAAUCUACAAACCAUGCCCUUGCUUAGGCUGGAGCUUCAUUCGUAGAAGAGAUGCCUAUAGAACAAAAACAGGGUCGUCGGCCUUGAUGCUCUUUCUAGGUGGAAUGUGCCAUCAUGGAGAAACUUCUAAAAAAACAAUAGAGAACGGAUGGCCCAAGAGUUCAGAUAGUUUCCUAAAAAAUAGAGCAUAAUAAAUAAUAAAGAACCAUAUGUUCACUUGUUCAGGAUGUUUUCGGUCAUACAGACCACAUUUCUGGUUGCUUUCCCACUAUACCUUAACAAGUUCUCUGAUCACAGCUACACGACCAUGUGUCAUAAAAAUACCGGUUUUGUAGAGAACUUGUCGCCAAAUGGUGUAUCAUUAUCAAGAAAAUUUGGAUGAAGGACUGCCAAUUCAGCACAUGUGUUUAAUCUUAUCGAAGUGUUUGAACCACCCAAAGCAUCUCAUACUAAUUCCUUGUCUUCAAAUAUCAUUAUGGAUGGAGAAGAAAAAAACAAUUGAUUAACCUAAUACGUGGUGCACUUGCUACUGAAUAUUAAAAUGAGUACACAUCAAUUAAGCUAAAGAAUUUGCAAAGAAAGCCUACCACACGGGACAAAUUCUUCAAUGAACUGAAAUUGCUCUUUACAAUGGUGAUUCAACUAAUACCACUAUUUUCUACGUACAAUAAGUUGUUAAUUAUUUUAUUUUAAAACAUAGAGGAUUUUUUGAUCUAUUGGUGCAUAUGCUUUAUGUCUUUCAGAUUCCACCAAGAUUAUGUUAGGACUGGAGUUACAGGUAAGCUGUAGUCUGUAGUCUAUAAUAGGUCUGUAAGAGGCACAACGAUGAAACAUUAUUUUUCAAGGGAAGUUGUUCAAUGAAAGGAAUAAACUAUUUGAACCUAGCUACAGACCCAUAUCAAUCUCUAUAGGCGGGAUUUGGGAUGAAGAUUGAGAGAGUUGAGGAGAGGGAGAAACAUAC
rnacentral:lncRNA from 1 species